UACGUAGGGGGCUAGCGUUGUCCGGAAUCAUUGGGCGUAAAGAGCGUGUAGGCGGCCCGGUAAGUCCGCUGUGAAAGUCGGGGGCUCAACCUUUGAACGCCGAUGGAUACUGCCGGGCUAGAGUCCGGAAGAGGAGAAUGGAAUUCCUGGUGUAGCGGUGAAAUGCGCAGAUAUCAGGAAGAACACCCGUGGCGAAGGCGGUUCUCUGGGACGGUACUGACGCUGAGACGCGAAAGCGUGGGGAGCGAAUGGG
rnacentral:rRNA from 1 species